UAAAUUUAUAUAAACGAAGAAAGUAAAUAGUUCAAUCCUAAUAAAAAAUAUAUUUAAAUCGAUUCGAUCGAUUUAAGAAUCAGAGCAUAUUUAUUCAACGACCGUAGAAACGAGGUAUCGAUAGUUGGCGAUAGUGCCAAAUCGUUGAUCGACGUGCUCGACUUCUUAGAAAGUAGGAAAUCGAAUAACUCUCAUUUGCGUGAUCGGAAUUACACAAUGACAAACUGCAUAUCAAUGUGAUAUCUCGAGCGAGAUGAGAUUUAUUUGUCCUUUAAUCAUUUUUCCGUCCGAUAUGUUUUUUUUUUUUUUCACCCCUGAAAACAUCGUUUUCUAAUCCAUUCCGAUCAUUCUUUCUUUUUCAAAUGUUCGGAUACGAUCUUUCGUACGCGUGGAACGCAAGGAAAAAUUUUUUUUCUAAUAGUAAAAAGUAGCUUAGAAAUUCCAGAGCAAUGUCCUCCGUCACUUUCACGUCCUCUUCGAUUUGCACGUCGACUAUGCAUACUACUUACCUAUUGUCUUCGAACGCAAUGCACUCUAGUCUAAUCGCCUCAACGAGAUUGCUAUUCCUGUUGCCGUUGCUAUUGCUAUUGCUAUUGCUGUUCCUAGUUUUGCUGCGGCUAUCGAGAGAUUCGAAAACGAUCGUGAAAUCGUUUCUCACGAGAAAGAGUUCGAGAAAGGAGAGAAAAAUGAACUUGCGCUAUACGUUGCAACUCGAUUCUGAAACGCGCUUAUUACUGCAGACCGAGCGAUGUUAAAUGUCAAGAAGUUCUCUCGUGUGAUCAGAAAAAGUUUAUGGGAUGAUUUAUCCCAUAAUAUCAUCAAAAACGACGAUAAAUGACGUGAAAACAACCGAUCAACGAAAAUUCAACAAUAGAAGGAUCGAAUUUCCAAAGAUGUACUAAUGCAACGCUGAUGUACAUAUCCUUGUUUGAUCGUGGUGAGGUCUCUUAGGCGGUGCUCGGGGUCCAUGGGCGGGCCCCGCCGCUCCCGAAGGGGACCUAUAUAAGUACUGCCACAGAGCGCUCGCGUGUUAAGCGAUUCUACAAGACAAUCACUUCUGCAUCAUCAGCAGCAACGAGACAUGCGUUUUCCUGUGCCGUUCCUUCUUUCUUGCGUCAGCUUGGUGGCCGGCCAGUACAACAGUCGACCUUACCAAGUGACCACUCCUGUGCCGAUUCUAAAACAAAUCAACAAGCACAACGGAGAUGGUAGCUACAGUUAUGGUUACGAGGCUGCCGAUGGUUCCUACAAAAUCGAAUCGAAAUAUCCGACUGGUGAAGUUUAUGGGAAAUAUGGGUUCGUCGACGAUACAGGGAGCGUUCGAGAGAUCGAGUACGGUGCUUCUAGGCGUGGAUUCGAGCCUGCCGGAGCUGGAAUUAACGUACCACCACCGACCUUGACCUCAGCCAAUAGCAUUGCGAACGAACCGGAGGACGAUGGUCAAUACCGAGAGGACCCAUCGGUUUAUUACACCGAUCCAAGGUAUACCAAUGGUGAACGUUACGAGCCGAGACCACCAGCUCAGCCCUAUAAUCUUCAACGACGUCCUCCCAUUGAUUCGCGUUCUUUACCAAGCAAUUCCAUGCCAAUUGCUCCUCGAAUGUCGGCGCCUCGAUACGAGGCCGCGUAUCGACCACAAUAUCAACCGCAAUAUCAAGGACAACAGGGACAAGGGAGAUCCUUGUACACUCCGAUGGCAUACCAAGCCGGAUAUCAGGGACAUCCGGCGCCCAACGUGGUCUCGAAUGCUGGCUUGGCAUCCUAUACUAUAAAUUACAAGCGAUAGAGAAGACUUAAAGAAAUCAAAAUGGCGGACCCAAGGAAUAUGGCCGCGAUCUGUCUUCUUCCUGUCUGUAUUUACUUUCGACGGAUGUAAACCCGUGCAUCUUUAUGCAUCCCACAAUAGGUGGAUGCAAUGCAAAUAAAGGCUGCUUUUCGUUUUUUUUUUUUUUUUGUUUCUUUUUUGUUUCUUUUUCUUAUUAUAACAUUGAAAAAAUCGUAAAUAUAUUAUUUCUUGAUGAAUUAACGAAUCUGAGUAAAAUGCAGGAAUACGAAUUUUUCUUUGCGCGAAUGAAACUUUUUUUGAUCGAAAUUAUUAUACAUAUGUAUGAAGAUAUUUGAGAAAAUUUUCUAU